UGAAAUGUUAAUGGCUGUGUGUGUGUGUGUGUGUGUGUUGUUAUUUUCCAGCCAUUGUGAAAUACUUUUGCUUUUGUUAAUAAAUGCUGUUGGUUGGUGCAAGAUUUAAUCGUCCAUGCUCCAGCAUGGCCGUAUGUGAUG